GAGAAAGGAGAGGAAGGGAGACGCCAGCCUGUCAUCUGAGGAACAACAUGCCAGCAGACCGGGUAUCUCCAUCUUCCUCCUGCACCAAAGGAUGGCGGGAAGAAUAAAAAGGAAAAUGUACUGGAAGAAGGAAAAAGCUCUGUUCAGAGCCUGUAUUCAUCUUACAGAUGAGCAAUAUCACAUGUGAAAAGCCGGGAGUGGCAGUGCAUAUCUGAAACCCGAGCACUCCUGUGCUGAGAUGGGAGAUGGAGACAGGAGAAUCUCGGGUGUUCUCCUGCCAGCUAACCUGAGUACCUUGCAAGGCAGCAGACCUAAGUGAGACCUGCUCCACAGUGGGGAACCAAGAGCCAACUCCCAAAAGCUGUCCUCUCGCUGCCAGACACACGUGGCAGUUGUGUGUACAUGUGUGCACACAAUAAUAAAUAAAUAACAAACCGAUACUAUAUAUAAAUAAAGUAUUGAUUUCCUU